AUUGAACGCUGGCGGCAGGCCUAACACAUGCAAGUCGAGCGAGCGGCGGACGGGUGAGUAAUGUAUGGGGACUGCCCGAUAGAGGGGGAUAACUACUGGAAACGGUGGCUAAUACCGCAUACUAUCGGAUAACCCAUAUGGGAUUAGCUAGUGGGUGGGGUAAAGGCUCACCUAGGCGACGAUCUCUAGCUGGUCCGAGAGGCUGAUCAGCCCCACUGUGACUGGGACACGGCCCGGACUCCAACGGAGGCGGCAGUGGGGAAUAUUGCACACUGGGCGAAAGCCUGAUGCAGCAAUGCCGCGUGUAUGAAGAAGGCCUUAGGGUUGUAAGGUACUUUAAGCGGGGAGGCGUUACCCGCAGAAGAAGCACCGGCUAACUCCGUGCCAGCAGCCGCGGUAAUAC
rnacentral:rRNA from 1 species